CUUAGUUGAGCUGAGGGAAUAACGGCGCAGAGGGAAAGUCUCUCCGAAGCAGCAGGGCUGGGGGAGCCGCACACGGACUGACCGUGUGAAGGAGGGGUCGUGUCUGCUGCAGCCGUGUCUUCCAAGCUGACGGGCACAGAAGCGGGUUUGAGAGUUGUGCUCCGCGUAGGGGUCUGGGGGCUGCAUGCAGUUCUGCUGGGCUCAGUCAGAUCGGGCUCCAGACCGGGGAGGUCUGCCUCUGUGUCUUCUCAUUCCAGGACCUCCGUAAUUCCCCGACAGAUGCCCAAAGCUCGAGGGGAACAUCCUCGGCCAUCCUCUUUCGUUCUGUGAAGACGGAGGCCCCUGCUGUCCCUGGCCCUGCCAUGGCCCCGCACUGAUCACCAAUGCAGAGGAAUUGUGGUACACGGCAGGGGACAUCAUGGGAAAUGACAGGCAUGUGACUGACCUUCAUUCCUGAAGAAUGGUGACUUUAUCAACCCAAGGAGCUGCCAGCAGAUACAGCCAGCCCACAGGUCCUCCAGGUCCAUAAAGGUUUGAAUUUCCCU
rnacentral:lncRNA from 1 species